rnacentral:tRNA from 1 species
GCCUGGGUGGCUCAGUUGGUUGAGCGUCUGACUUCGGCUCAGGUCAUGAUCUCACAGCUCGUGAGUUCGAGCCCCGUGUCGGGCU